GACGCCCACAGGAGCAUUUGGGAAUCUCACAUAUUUAAUAACUAAUCUGUUAUUACAUGCAUUAAAGUGUCAAAGAAAAACUGCUCACCUGAAAUGCAGCACGGGGUUGGCGAUGGUCGGAGUUUUGUCUUCAAAGGGCUCGAUAAUGAUGGUGAAGCCUUUUCAGAGACGCAGAGAUGUUACAGACCAUAACCCAGCUACAGCAAAACAGCUGAGCAGAGGUGGGGUUUUUCCUACCUUGGCUGUAGGUGCUGACGAGCGUGGCAAAGUUCGAGAUGAGAGUAACGGCCGAGAAGUCGGCGAUGUCGGCGAUCUCCAGCGUUCGCAGUAAUGACUGCAACCGCUCUGCACAAAACCUGGAGGUGCAGAGAGGAGGGGUCAGCGUGGGAAAGCGGCAGGAGUCGAGUUUUCACGCUGAAACCGACCUGAGGGGUUUGCGGUCAAUGCAGACUUUUUCGAAGAUGUCUUUGAGGAACUGCGGCGCGCUCUCCUGUACGACAUGGUGGACCCUCAGACGGGACUUCAGGUACUCCAGGAAGCGCCUCAUGAAACCCACAAAGUGCUCGGCUGUACGAAUAGAGCCGGGCACCGCCUCUGACAGAGAGGAAGAAGGAACGUCACACUGCUGAAAGAACAGUUUGUAUUUUCUCAUUUCUCUCAUCACACCUGCAAUAAGACGGAUACAUUUCUAAUAAUAAUUUGGCCCUUCAUCCAAACUGUGACUCAGCCAGUAAGAUUCCAGUUACAAGGUUUGGAGUUUGAUGUUAAUUUGCAGACGACUCGACAUGUUUGCUAACAAACUGCUUUUAAAACGUAGCUAACUUAGUGAACUAUGAGAGGAGCCUGAAACCAGAAGAUGAAUCAAAGUUUGUAUCUGUUGGAGACCGAACCUUGGAGAACUUCAUCAGGUAACACCGGAUUGGAGAGGUAGACGUCGGUUUCUCUCGCCACAUUGGCUUCUUUCAGCCCCUCCACCAAUCGCCUGUACUCCUCCCUCAGCUUGGCAGCGUCCGUCUCCUUUAUCCUGUCAGAUCAUUAUCUGUCAACUCCUUCAUAUAUCCCACAAAAUUACAGACAUUUCAACUAUUGGUGCCAUUUUCAUUCAGUCAGACUGGAAAUAAACUGUAUCCUGAUGUGAUGCAUAUAAACGUGACUUCCACUCUGGGAUCCAGAACAAUAAUGCAAACCAGAGGCUUCAGUGCAGGCUCGAGGAGGGCAAACACAGAAGCAUUUACACAAACUGAAAUCAGCCUGCCGCCGGCUCUGCCGCAGCCUCACUUCUGUAUGCUGUUUUGGAGAGUGUCCACGUUGUUCUGGCAGCGGUCCAGCGUUCGCCUGGUGAUGUUUACGCUCAUGGAGUCGAUGCACACGUUGUCUGAGGAGAGUGUGGAAGAAUAAUUAGAGGAAAGCAAAUUCAGAAGGACAGAAAUUCAGCCGAUUCGGUUCCUCACCGAUAUUAUGAGCCUCGUCAAACACCACUACAGACUUCUUUGCCAGCUCUUUGGACACCAGAUCAGCUAUCUUGGGGUCCAGCAGUAACUCACUGAAUAGCGAGCCAGAUAGUACGGACACCAGCCCUUCCUCCUGCCAAAGGCCUUCAGGUCGUCCAGGUUGUAGAUGCCAGCAGGAAGAGGAACCUGUCGGCCGACCGCAUCGAAGUCCUGCAACACAAACCGGGACGGACGAGGGGAGAGGUUCAAGGAGAGGAGCAGCAGACGAGGGCGCAGAACCUCAGAGCCUAGGUUUUACAAACGAGAAAUGCUCGAAGCGUCACCGUCAGCGCCGCCGUCCUGCCUCACUGCCAUCACACGCCCGCCCCCGGGUCGCUGCUCACCGGUGAUGCUGAGCCCUGAUGCUGCCAUUCAUGAGCCAUUACAGGAAGUAACUUCUUACCUCAUAGAAGCGACAGACGGGCUGGCUGGGGUUGCUGUGGUGUUGUGCACGGAUGUACGACGCUGUCAAACUGUGGCACUUCCCAUCGACCUCCUUACCGAAGCGCAGAGAGCUCACCUGUGUGAAGACAAGCGUGCCGGUCACUUUUUAAAGCCGAGAGCUGAAUCCCGACUCCCUCCUUCACCUUUACGGGCGGGCAGGUGUUCGUACCUCAGGGUGGAUGCAGAGGUUCUUCCUGGAGGAAAGGGCGAGGGCGAGGAAAUUGUUGCUCUCUCCUGUUUCUUUGGUGUAAAACUCCAUCAGCUUCCUCAGCUCCUCCACAACCUCAUCAGAGAGAGAAUCAAACGUACAGUUUAAGACGUCCACGCUUUCACAGCUUCUUCCAGUUUGACUGAGAGCCGUCAGUAAAUUAAAGAGUAGAAACGCACUUCAUCUGAUGUGACGUUCACUCACCUUCUCGAUCUCUGGAACUGUUCUGGAGCAGUAAAUUAACUUGGUGACCUCCAGAGGGAAAGCCUGAGACACAGAGAACAUGUUUACACGCUCACGUGCCACCAGCUGUUAAACCAUUUCUGAGACAGGCUGCACUCACCCUCUGGUAGGCCACAAUGAGGGACAGCAGAGAGAUGGUCUUCCCCGUUCCCGACGGCAUCUCCAGGACUCCAUGACCCUGAACGGUUAACAAAGAAAGCAGCAGCUGAAAGCAAACACUCAGGACUUUUGUUGUGUGUGUUUUACAGAAAUCUGAGAGGGACACGCUGUACUCCCCAGGAGGAGCAACACAAAAGGAAAAACCUGGACUAACAACUGUAACUUUAGGAGCCGUGCCUUCACUUCCAGGAAGAAAAAUAGGAACAGCUAACAAUAACCCACAUUUAAAAAUACACGCACGUCUGCACCGAUCACAGGAACAUGAGGACUUUUCUUUAACUGCAAUCAGAAAUAAAGUACUGGUUCUGACCAGCGGUAAAAAGUAUCAAAGUACAUC